CAGAAACUUAAAGGAAGUUGACGGGGCCCGGCACAAGCGGUGGAGUAUGUGGUUUAAUUCGAUGCAACGCGAAGAACCUUACCUGGUCUUGACAUCCCGGAGACCCUUAGGAAACUAGGGGUGCUUCCAUCUGGAAGAAUCUGGAGACAGGUGCUGCAUGGCUGUCGUCAGCUCGUGUCGUGAGAUGUUGGGUUAAGUCCCGCAACGAGCGCAACCCUUGCCUUUAGUUGCCAGCAGUUCGGCUGGGCACUCUAAAGGGACUGCCGGUGUUAAACCGGAGGAAGGUGGGGAUGACGUCAAGUCCUCAUGGCCUUUAUGACCAGGGCUACACACGUACUACAAUGGCCGAUACAAAGGGCAGCGACACUGCGAGGUGAAGCCAAUCCCGUAAAAUCGGUCUCAGUCCGGAUUGGAGUCUGCAACUCGACUCCAUGAAGUUGGAAUCGCUAGUAAUCGUGGAUCAGCAUGCCACGGUGAAUACGUUCCCGGGCCUU
rnacentral:rRNA from 1 species